GGGCCCAUAGCUCAAUGGUCAGAGCAGCCGGCUCAUAACCGGUAGGCUACAGGUUCGAAUCCUGUUGGGCCCA
rnacentral:tRNA from 1 species